AGUCGAACGCGUUGGCCCAAUUGAUUGAUGGUGCUUGCACCUGAUUGAUUUUGGUCGCCAACGAGUGGCGGACGGGUGAGUAACACGUAGGUAACCUGCCCAGAAGCGGGGGACAACAUUUGGAAACAGAUGCUAAUACCGCAUAACAGCGUUGUUCGCAUGAACAACGCUUAAAAGAUGGCUUCUCGCUAUCACUUCUGGAUGGACCUGCGGUGCAUUAGCUUGUUGGUGGGGUAACGGCCUACCAAGGCGAUGAUGCAUAGCCGAGUUGAGAGACUGAUCGGCCACAAUGGGACUGAGACACGGCCCAUACUCCUACGGGAGGCAGCAGUAGGGAAUCUUCCACAAUGGGCGCAAGCCUGAUGGAGCAACACCGCGUGAGUGAAGAAGGGUUUCGGCUCGUAAAGCUCUGUUGUUAAAGAAGAACACGUAUGAGAGUAACUGUUCAUACGUUGACGGUAUUUAACCAGAAAGUCACGGCUAACUACGUGCCAGCAGCCGCGGUAAUACGUAGGUGGCAAGCGUUAUCCGGAUUUAUUGGGCGUAAAGAGAGUGCAGGCGGUUUUCUAAGUCUGAUGUGAAAGCCUUCGGCUUAACCGGAGAAGUGCAUCGGAAACUGGAUAACUUGAGUGCAGAAGAGGGUAGUGGAACUCCAUGUGUAGCGGUGGAAUGCGUAGAUAUAUGGAAGAACACCAGUGGCGAAGGCGGCUACCUGGUCUGCAACUGACGCUGAGACUCGAAAGCAUGGGUAGCGAACAGGAUUAGAUACCCUGGUAGUCCAUGCCGUAAACGAUGAGUGCUAGGUGUUGGAGGGUUUCCGCCCUUCAGUGCCGGAGCUAACGCAUUAAGCACUCCGCCUGGGGAGUACGACCGCAAGGUUGAAACUCAAAGGAAUUGACGGGGGCCCGCACAAGCGGUGGAGCAUGUGGUUUAAUUCGAAGCUACGCGAAGAACCUUACCAGGUCUUGACAUCUUGCGCCAACCCUAGAGAUAGGGCGUUUCCUUCGGGAACGCAAUGACAGGUGGUGCAUGGUCGUCGUCAGCUCGUGUCGUGAGAUGUUGGGUUAAGUCCCGCAACGAGCGCAACCCUUGUUACUAGUUGCCAGCAUUAAGUUGGGCACUCUAGUGAGACUGCCGGUGACAAACCGGAGGAAGGUGGGGACGACGUCAGAUCAUCAUGCCCCUUAUGACCUGGGCUACACACGUGCUACAAUGGACGGUACAACGAGUCGCGAACUCGCGAGGGCAAGCAAAUCUCUUAAAACCGUUCUCAGUUCGGACUGCAGGCUGCAACUCGCCUGCACGAAGUCGGAAUCGCUAGUAAUCGCGGAUCAGCAUGCCGCGGUGAAUACGUUCCCGGGCCUUGUACACACCGCCCGUCACACCAUGAGAGUUUGUAACACCCAAAGUCGGUGGGGUAACCUUUUAGGAG
rnacentral:rRNA from 2 species